ACAUUUUAGCUUUUAAUAGAGCUACAGCAGGUAAGUGAGGCAUUUUCUUCUUGCAUUCAUUGCCGACUUCCUUAACAAACUUGCCAACGAAAAUGGCAGCCAAUUAUGACAUGUGGGCAGAUACCGUAUAUAAAAUUAAUGAAAUUCAUUUCCAAUUCUCACUUCCAGUGGUCUAUAAUUAGUUUUUAAGUCAGUAUAGUUUUUAAAUUCGUAAAUUUUUUAUUCAUGCAUUAAAUAAUGCAAGCAAUGACAUAUUCCACUUUUACAGUACUUCUGACUAUUAAAGCUGUUAGUUUUGUAGUUUUGAAUUUACAUGUAUGCUAUUUUUAUGAUAAUUAGAAUGUCACGAAAAGCUAUCAGUAUUGUUCAUGGUGGUGGACGAAACUCUGGAUGCUAUAUUUGGAGAUGUUGAUAACAUUUCCCCAAGACUAGAUUAUUAUCAACUCUUUAUUUCCCUUGGCACUACUUAAUGUGACACCAGUAUAUUUCCAGAAUGACAUUCCUGUCAAAUUAUUUUUAGAGAUGAAAAUAGGCUAUACAAAGUUCUUUGUAAACAUUAAUGCAAAACUCAACAGAGUAACCUGAAAUCAAAUGUGUGGCUAAACAAGCAUUUAUUCAUGUUUGAACUGUUUUUUUUACAUUUUUGCUUGAGUUAUGAACAUUAUAAAUUGAAGUACAA